UACGUAGGGGGCAAGCGUUGUCCGGAAUCAUUGGGCGUAAAGAGCGUGUGGGCGGCUUGGCAAGUCUGGGUGUCGAAAUCUUGCGGCUCAACCGCAAGCGGUCACUGGAAACUGCCUCGCUAGAGUCCGGAAGAGGAGAGCGGAAUUCCUGGUGUAGCGGUGGAAUGCGCAGAUAUCAGGAAGAACACCCGCUGGCGGAAGGCGGCUCUCUGGGACGGGUACCUGACGCUGAGACGCGAAAGCGUGGGGAGCGAACAGGG
rnacentral:rRNA from 1 species